rnacentral:misc_RNA from 1 species
CCCAACUAUCCCUAUUAAUCAUUACGGUGGUCCUAGAAACCAACAAAAUAGAACCACAACGUCCUAUUCUAUUAUUCCAUGCUAAUCUAUUCAAGCAAUAGCCCGCUUUAAACACUCUAAUUUUUUCAAGGUAAUGGUCCUGGCUCCCCAACACACCCAAUUAAGGACAUACUGGUUCACCAGAAGGAAGACCCGACAACAGGACAGUACUCGCCAAAGACGGACCGCCCGGCCAAGUCUAAAAUUCAACUACGAGCUUUUUAACUGCAACAACUUUAAUAUACGCUAUUGGAGCUGGAAUUACCGCGGCUGCUGGCACCAGACUUGCCCCAA